GAUCAUGGCUCAGAUUGAACGCUGGCGGCAUGCCUUUACACAUGCAAGUCGAACGGCAGCGGGGGACUUUCGGGUCCGCCGGCGAGUGGCGAACGGGUGAGUAAUGCCUGGGGAUCUGCCCAGUCGAGGGGGAUAACAGUUGGAAACGACUGCUAAUACCGCAUACGCCCUACGGGGGAAAGGAGGGGACCUUUCGGGCCUUUCGCGAUUGGAUGAACCCAGGUGGGAUUAGCUAGUUGGUGGGGUAAUGGCUCACCAGGGCGACGAUCCCUAGCUGGUCUGAGAGGAUGAUCAGCCACACUGGGACUGAGACACGGCCCAGACUCCUACGGGAGGCAGCAGUGGGGAAUUUUGGACAAUGGGCGAAAGCCUGAUCCAGCCAUGCCGCGUGAGUGAAGAAGGCCUUCGGGUUGUAAAGCUCUUUCGCAAGGGAAGAAAACUUAUCCUCUAACAUAGGAUGAGGUUGACGGUACCUUGAUAAGAAGCACCGGCUAACUACGUG
rnacentral:rRNA from 1 species